UGUCAGCUGUGGGGCCAGAGUGUCCUGGACACAUUGGCACCAUGACUGGGACUCCUCUCCUGCUCCUGCUCCUCCUCACCCUCUGCCCAGGGUCCAGCUCUCAGGCUGUGGUGACCCAGGAGCCCUUCCUGACAGUGUCCCCAGGAGAGACAGUCACUCUCACCUGUGGCCACAACACUGGAGCUGUCACCAAUGAGCACUACCCAUCUUGGUUCCAGCAGAAGUCUGGACAAGUCCCCAUCACAUUGGUUUAUGACAUAGACAAGAAAAACGGGUGGACCCCGGCCCGCUUCUCAGGCUCCAUUCUCGGGGGCAAGGGGGCCCUGACCCUGUCGGGGGCCCAGCUGGAGGACGAGGCCAAGUACUACUGCUGGCUGGUGUACAGCGGUGCUCGGCACAGUGACAGGUUCAGACGAAGACCUGGGACAUAAACCUCGCCCUGGCCCAGCCUGGUCUAAGAACAGCCUCAGAGUUUGAGAGUCACAUGAUCUCAUGCUUCAGUGCUCCAGACAGUCCCAAUGGGACAGAGGGGACAGGAAGGACUCUGUAAUGAUGUCUACGACCCUGGAGCACUAAAGAGGAGGAAA